CGCAAAAUAAGACUUUGAAAAUCACGAUGCGCGUAAAAUUAAAUAAGCAGAACACGUUGAACGAGGCACCCGUCUUGCACGACUGAACGUCAAAUAAAAAAGUAAAAACACGUUGAACGUGAAAUAAAAAAACGGCGAUCACGUUGGACGAAAAUAACCCUUUACCACCCUCUUAGACUUGAUUUGGAUAUUUUCAAUAAGAG
rnacentral:lncRNA from 1 species